GUCCUUUAGGACAAUGGUAGGAUAGCGUUCUAAGGGCGUUGAAGCAUGAUCGCAAGGACAUGUGGAGCGCUUAGAAGUGAGCAUGCCGGUGUGCGUAGCGAAAGACGGGUGAGAAUCCCGUCCACCGAUUGACUAAGGUUUCCAGAGGAAGGCUCGUCCGCUCUGGGUUAGUCGGGUCCUAAGCUGAGGCCGACCGGCGUAGGCGAUGG
rnacentral:rRNA from 1 species